rnacentral:rRNA from 1 species
GUGGGGAAUAUUGCACAAUGGGCGAAAGCCUGAUGCAGCGACGCCGCGUGAGCGAUGAAGUAUUUCGGUACGUAAAGCUCUAUCAGCAGGGAAGAUAAUGACGGUACCUGACUAAGAAGCACCGGCUAAAUACGUGCCAGCAGCCGCGGUAAUACGUAUGGUGCAAGCGUUAUCCGGAUUUACUGGGUGUAAAGGGAGCGUAGGCGGCGUGGUAAGUCAGAAGUGAAAGCCCGGGGCUCAACCCCGGGACUGCUUUUGAAACUAUCAUGCUAGAGUGUCGGAGAGGUAAGUGGAAUUCCUAGUGUAGCGGUGAAAUGCGUAGAUAUUAGGAGGAACACCAGUGGCGAAGGCGGCUUACUGGACGAUAACUGACGCUGAGGCUCGAAAGCGUGGGGAGCAAACAGGAUUAGAAACCCGUGUAGUCC